GGCUUCCUUAAGGGCCUUCGUGGACACGCUCUCCUUAGCCUUCCGGUCCUUCUUUUGCUAGAGCUCUGGUUUUUCUCCGGUUUCCACUUCCUCGCGUGUAAUCCAGCGCCAUCGCGCCGUGGGCGAGCAUGGUAGUAGGUAGUAGCGAGAUGAGAACCGAGCCCUGGUCAUGGUGGCUCGCGACCGGGAGGACUGAUUGGACAAUGUCGCCAGGAGACGGGUCGCUGAUGCCGAGGUGACGCGGGAGCUCCAUGGGUGUGAUACCACGGCAGCUUGAGUGAGGAUGCUCCGGUGUCCUGAUGAGAGACCUUUUUCUUGUGGUCAAUAAAAGAAGGAGCUGUGUUCUUGGUGAUGUCUGGAAGAGAUGCGUGGCUCUGGAAGAUGAUUAUGAAAGACAGGAAAGGAAUGAAAUCAAAGGAUCUUUUUUGUAACAUAGAUGGAUGUAUUCAGUAAUUUGAAGAUUUAUAUAAGGCCUGCUGCUGACCUCAGUUAAUUCUUGGGACCCACAGUGUGGAAGAAGAGACCUGACUCCUGACAGUUGUCUUCUGACCACAUAUACACAAUAAAUGUGAUUUAAAAAAAACAAAAACAAAAACAAAAUAGUAAAACUGAAACAUUAGACUGUUGCUGUUUAAUUGAAAUGUAAACAUGCAAAGGUUAAUGGAACAAACUGCUGGUGACAGUUUUGUUCAAACUGUACACAAACCAUUAUCCUGUUUUGAAAUGAGAAAGGGAUCAACAUUGUCAAAAGAAGUAAACUUGUAAAUCUUUCCCUUGUAAAGAUUCAUUUGUAAUGGCAAUGCUGUGUGCCUGCAGUGCCCUCAGUGCAGCUGAAGCUACAGGCAGCUGUGAGCCAUCUCUCCAGCCCAACUUUGUGAAUAUGAAUUUGAAGUCUCUGCGUUGUGGAGAAAAAGCAAGAGUCCUGUGUUGGGAUGUUGUGACUGCAGCCCGUUAAAUGAACUGUAACUUCCUGUCUGAGUUGCUUUCUGGGGAGGGCUAGCUCAGGCAGACAGAAGUGGCCUCGUUGACAUUGCAGGAACCACACUAAAUGCCUAAUAAAAACAGCCAGUUUGUCCUCUCAAAUGCAACUCCAGUCUUAGCUGCUGCUCAUUUGUAGUGUAACAAUAAACAUCGUUUUCUCCUA